ACACACGAUAUAGCCUUUGGAUGGAUCAUGAAGAACCUUGAGCGUCAUGAACUGUGGGUAACCCCAGUUAACACUUGUUGCACUGAACCAACGUUCAACUAUAAUUUCAACACAAACCCAACGUUACAGGUUGUUUAACCAUGGAAAGGCAUUCCCAUUUACAAUUGCGUGCCAAUGGGAAUACCUCUGCCCCAAAUAUGCAGCAAUCACCAACAAGGUACCCAUUGCAUGUGUCGUUAAAUGAGUCGAGGGAGAUAAGUUGAGCGAAGCCCCAUUCAGUUUUCAUCCAGUGAAAUCUCUUCACUGCUCCAUCACCAUCUACCAAGUUUACCAGACCACAUUAGUGGCGAAUUAUGUACGUAUAUGAUCAUGAAAAAAAUGUAUAAUAGAAUGGAAACCUUCAAUGGUUAAGUACUUGUCUCGAAUCUGGUCAAGCACAAAUAACCUGAAGCU